AUGAACGCUGGCGGCGUGCCUAAUACAUGCAAGUCGAGCGAACGGACGAGAAGCUUGCUUCUCUGAUGUUAGCGGCGGACGGGUGAGUAACACGUGGAUAACCUACCUAUAAGACUGGGAUAACUUCGGGAAACCGGAGCUAAUACCGGAUGAUAUUUUGAACCGCAUGGUUCAAAAGUGAAAGACGGUCUUGCUGUCACUUAUAGAUGGAUCCGCGCUGCAUUAGCUAGUUGGUAAGGUAACGGCUUACCAAGGCAACGAUGCAUAGCCGACCUGAGAGGGUGAUCGGCCACACUGGAACUGAGACACGGUCCAGACUCCUACGGGAGGCAGCAGUAGGGAAUCUUCCGCAAUGGGCGAAAGCCUGACGGAGCAAUGCCGCGUGAGUGAUGAAGGUCUUCGGAUCGUAAAACUCUGUUAUUAGGGAAGAACAUAUGUGUAAGUAACUGUGCACAUCUUGACGGUACCUAAUCAGAAAGCCACGGCUAACUACGUG
rnacentral:rRNA from 1 species